GUACACACCGCCCGUCACACCAUGGGAGUUGGUUUGACCCGAAGCUGGUGCGCCAACCGCAAGGGAGGCAGGUCCCCAAGGAGUGGCUGGUGACUGGGGUGAAGUCGUAACAAGGUAUCCGUAGGUGAACCUGCAGAAGGAUCA
rnacentral:rRNA from 1 species